GCCUGGAUGGCUCAGUGGUUGAGCGCCUGACUUUGGCUCAGGUCAUGAUCCUGGCA
rnacentral:tRNA from 1 species